GUCGGGAUAGCUCAGUUGGUAGAGCAGAGGACUGAAAAUCSBCGUGUCA
rnacentral:tRNA from 1 species